rnacentral:rRNA from 1 species
AUGCUCACUCUUCUUACCCUUCUUUUCUGCAGGACUGGCAUCAUCCUCCACCUCCUUGUCCAAUGCACGCUUCUUAUCCUUGCCCUUUUUUGGGGUCUUCAGGUCUUCACCAGCAGAAAGCUCCUCAACCGACUCCUUCUUCCUCCUCUUCUCAGUCGCCUCUGGGGCUUCUUCCAUCACAGCAUCUUCAGUCUGAUCCUUCUUGUUCCUUUUCCUCUUGUACUUCAAACCUUCAGCUCCACCAUUGGCAUCUUUCAGCACCUUCAUCUUCUUGUCCUUGCGCUUGCUGCCAGUCCCAACUUCUGCAGCAUCGAUGACCUCUCCGGCACCAACUCCUGCUUCCAAACGCGCAACCGGAGCCUCAAUCUUCAUGCCCAACUCCGGCACAACCUGGUAAAUUGGCAGGGCAACCGAAUCCACAGCCUUCAAAUGCAGAGCCCUAACGUUUUCCCACUUCUUGGGCACCUUCUCCACGGCGGCCUCCACUGCCGCCAUCACAUUGUCAACAAUCUCCUCCUCCUCCAUGUCCAGCCUGCCCACCUUGAUCCCCGAGCAGGUCCCGGUCCGCAGGUACAGGAAAGUGGAGCUGAGGACCUUGCGGACCUGCUCCGGCCAGCCGGCGCGGGUGAAGUCGACGGCGAUGGGGGCCUUCUUGGUGGAGUAGAAGGACUUGCCGAGGAGGCGGGGCAGCAUGGGGAGCAGGGCGCGGUCGGCGAGGAAGAGGUCGUAGGAGGCGGCGAAGCGGCGGCGCGACUCGUAGGGGCGGUAGUCGGUGCGCAGGGCGGAGAAGGGGACGACCUCCGAGACGGGCAGCUUGAGGGACCUGGCGGCGUCGAGGAUGGCGGCGGCGGCGGGGGAGCCGGAGCCGGCGCGGUCGUCGGAGAUGACGCAGACGGAGGCGGCCGAGUGGGCGACGACGGGGUGCGGGAGCGGGAGCAGGUGCGGCUUGGUGGUGGGCUUGGGCGGGACGCGGCGGAGCGAGAGCUGGAGCACGACGAGGUCGUCGCGCUCGUCGGCGAGCAGGUUCGGCGGCGCCUCGGCCGCGCGCUCCCGCAUCCACUUGGUGAGGGACGCCACGGCGCUGGCCGCCGUCGCGCGCGGCACCUCGUGCGCCGCCUUGUCCUUCAGCUGCGGCUGCGGCGGCGGCGACAUGGCAGCGGCUGUGGCGGCGGUUUAGGGUUUGGAGUGGCGGCGGGAGAAAGACGAGAGGAGGACGGGAGGAGCCGGGCUGCGAUGCGAGACCUUAUUAUAUGUGAGACGAGACUGCACCUUACGCGGCCCAUCCUGCGGGAAUGGCCCAGCCCAAUUGCCCAAAGGUCGUUCGGACGUACCAUUAGCUAG